CCCAGCUGUUGACAAAGGCCGCACUGUAGAACCCGGGUUUGGUGAAGGGUUGGAUUCCAAGCCACCACUUGUUAGGCCUCCCACUGGUCAUAGCUACACAAAGUGUAAUCAUAAGAAAACAUCAGAGAAACCCCAGUUGAAGGAUAUUAUGCACAAUACCUGACGAGUACUCCUCAAAAUUGAUGUGGUUAUCAAGAACAAGGAAAGUCUGAGAAACUGUCAAGCCAAGAGAAGCCUAUGGAGACAUUACAACUAACUGUAAUAUGAUAUCUUGGAUGGGAUCCUGGAAAAGAAGAAAACAUAUUAGGUCUCUAGACUUUUGUUGAGUGAAGAACAAUUUACUAUGAGGUAACCUACAAAAACAACACUCAGAAUUCUCUCAAAUCACAUUGGUCAGUACAACCAGCUCUCAGAUAUUUGGUUGAGAAGCAGCCACAGGAGGCCAGCAAGAGGCAGAGAAGCUGGGGCCUUCCAAGGGGCCAGAAAGGAAGCAGGAGGAUCUUGGGUCAUGAUGUGGGACCUGAUGACACACAGUGAAACAGCAUCCAGAAGAGCUGCUGAGGUCAAAAAGGGGAAUCAAAAUGGUAGGUCACGGGCUGAAACUGGAGCAGACAGGACCAGGGGCAGUUGCCAAGCUAAAUGGGAGAGCCAGUAAAAAGGGCGGAAAGGGGAUGGAUCCUCCAGUGAGCAGAAAGAAGGGCUGAAGGUUUUCCAGAGGCUUUUCUUCAUGUCAUUACCAGGGUUUCUUGUUGUGGUUUCUUGGAUCUCAAUGAAAGAAUUAGCUAUUCUCUGAGGUACAAAUUAGAGACCUGGAGGAACAUUUGCUAAAUAAUGUUUAUAAAUUUUUAUAUUAGUUGUCAACAUUUAUAAUUGGAAGAAUUCCCAUAAAGGUCUGGAUUUCCUGCUUUUCCUGAAAAACCAAGAGACCAAGCCAUCUUGGGUCUGCAUUUCUGCAGAGUAACUGUUGGUCUGCUUCUGUAGCUUGCUUCAAUCAUUUGUACUCCCUGACUGGCCCUGAAAGCAUCCAAGUUACUGCCCCUGUGGCACAUGAUUCUUAACCUGAAAACCAAGGUUUUCUGAAACACAGGAGGUUUGUGCUUAAAGCCUCCUUGACUCAUGACACCUUUUUUUUUAAACCACUUUAUUAAGGUAUGAUUGACAUAUGAAAAGCUAUCCAUAUUUUAUGUAUAUACCUUGAUGAGUUUAGAGAUAAGUAUACACUUAUGAAACUCUUAUCACAAUUUAUGCCGUAAGUCUAUCUAUCACUUCUCAACAUUUCUUCCUUUUGCCUUCUUAUUUAUUUAUUAUUGUUAUUGUUGUUGCUGUUGUGAUAAGAAUGCUUAUAAGAUCUACCCCGUUAGAAAACUUUUAGGUAUACAACACAAUAUGGUUAAGUCUAAGCACUAAGCUGUACAAUAUAUUUCAUUUUGUGUAACUCCCACAUCGUCUUGGUGGGAUUUCUUUCCAUACAGUCCAAUGGGUGACUGCUACCAUGGGAAUUCCAAUUGAAACACUGAUUUUUCUUAUAGUAUGUUUGAAAUUCUUUCCCUGGGUGGAUUUUAUUUCAACUGCAACAGUUUGUGCUCUAAAAAUUACCUUUUUCAUGAUUUUCAUAUAUAGAGAAUUUCUUUCUUGUAUGAAUCCUCUGGUGAACAGGAAGAAAUGCACUUUGGCUAAAAUAUUAUUUUCAUGCUCAUUAUAUCAUAUGGUUUCUGCCAUCUCUUGGGAUGGGCUUUUAUGAAUUCCCAGCAGACAUUAAUGAGGAUGAGGUAAGUCUACAUAAAAGGGGUGGGAGAGCCAAACAUUACUUUCUUCAUGUUACAUCCUGAAAAAAACCUUGUGUAGUGCUGCGGGGAUUAUAAUAUAUACCCAUUUCAAAGAGUCUAAUACCUUCACUCUGCUAAGUAAGUAGAAUACAAUUCAUUUAUUUAUUUUAUUUUAUUGACACACUACCUAUUUCCCAAAGCAAUUUGAAAUAACCAGCAAUAAAAUCUAAGAUAUA